rnacentral:rRNA from 1 species
CGGAGAGGGAGCACGUGACACGGCUACCACAUCCAAGGAAGGCAGCAGGCGCGCAAAUUACCCAAUCCCGACACGGGGAGGUAGUGACAAUAUGUAACAAUAUACGGCUUUAUUGUCGUAUAAUUGGAAUGAGUACAAUUUAAAUCCCUUAACGAGGAACAAUUGGAGGGCAAGUCUGGUGCCAGCAGCCGCGGUAAUUCCAGCUCCAAUAGCGUAUAUUAAAGUUGUUGCAGUUAAAAAGCUCGUAGUUGGACCUUGGGCCUGGACAGGCGGUCCGCCUCACGGCGUGUACUGUCUUGCUGGGCCUUUCCUCUUGGUGAUCUGUGGUUUCGGCCGCAGGGAACCAGGACCUUUACUUUGAAAAAAUUAGAGUGUUCAAAGCAGGCUUUACGCCAGAAUAUAUUAGCAUGGAAUAAUAAAAUAGGACGUGCGGUUCUAUUUUGUUGGUUUUUGGGAUCGCCGUAAUGAUUAAUAGGGACAGUCGGGGGCAUUAGUACUCACAUGCUAGAGGUGAAAUUCUUGGAUUUUGUGAAGACUAACUUCUGCGAAAGCAUUUGCCA